AAUCAACGCUGGCGGCGUGCCUCAGACAUGCAAGUCGAACGCGAAAGCCCCCUUCGGGGGCGAAGUAGAGUGGCGCACGGGUGAGUAACACGUAGGUAAUCUACCUUUGGUAUGGGGAAGUAACAACCGGAAACGGUUGCUAAUACCGCAUAGUGCAGCGGCACCUAAUGGUGACAGUUGUUAAAGCGGGGGAUCGAAAGACCUCGCGUCUGAAGAGGAGCCUGCGGCGGAUUAGCUAGNGGUAAGGUAACGGCUUACCAAGGCGACGAUCCGUAGUCGGCCUGAGAGGGCGGGUCGGCCACACUGACACUGACACACGGGUCAGACUCCUAC
rnacentral:rRNA from 1 species